CUCGUAGGCGGCCAACUAAGUCAGACGUGAAAUCCCUCGGCUUAACCGGGGAACUGCGUCUGAUACUGGAUGGCUUGAGAUUGGGAGAGGGAUGCGGAAUUCCAGGUGUAGCGGUGAAAUGCGUAGAUAUCUGGAGGAACACCGGUGGCGAAGGCGGCAUCCUGGACCAACACUGACGCUGAUGAGCGAAAGCCAGGGGAGCAAACG
rnacentral:rRNA from 1 species